AGUGAACGCUGGCGGUAGGCCUAACACAUGCAAGUCGAACGGCAGCACAGUAAGAGCUUGCUCUUACGGGUGGCGAGUGGCGGACGGGUGAGGAAUACAUCGGAAUCUACUUUUUCGUGGGGGAUAACGUAGGGAAACUUACGCUAAUACCGCAUACGACCUACGGGUGAAAGCAGGGGAUCUUCGGACCUUGCGCGAUUGAAUGAGCCGAUGUCGGAUUAGCUAGUUGGCGGGGUAAAGGCCCACCAAGGCGACGAUCCGUAGCUGGUCUGAGAGGAUGAUCAGCCACACUGGAACUGAGACACGGUCCAGACUCCUACGGGAGGCAGCAGCGGGGAAUAUUGGACAAUGGGCGCAGGCCUGAUCCAGCCAUACCGCGUGGGUGAAGAAGGCCUUCGGGUUGUAAAGCCCUUUUGUUGGGAAAGAAAAGCAGCAGGUUAAUACCCCGCUGUUCUGACGGUACCCAAAGAAUAAGCACCGGCUAACUUCGUG
rnacentral:rRNA from 1 species